rnacentral:rRNA from 1 species
CGAACGGGUGAGUAACGCGUGAGGAACCUGCCUCAAAGAGGGGGACAACAGUUGGAAACGACUGCUAAUACCGCAUAAGCCCACGGGUCGGCAUCGACCUGAGGGAAAAGGAGCAAUCCGCUUUGAGAUGGCCUCGCGUCCGAUUAGCUAGUUGGUGAGGUAACGGCCCACCAAGGCGACGAUCGGUAGCCGGACUGAGAGGCUGAACGGCCACAUUGGGACUGAGACACGGCCCAG